rnacentral:misc_RNA from 1 species
ACUCUGGUGAUAUCAGCCUAUGCUGCCUGUCCAGAUAUUACAAUGACUGUGACCCCUGACCUCAAAUGCCCUGAUAACAAAGGUUGUUUGCUGAUGGUGGACCUGGGAGGUGGGUGUCGUAGACUGGGAGGCUCCGCCCUCGCUCAAUGUUACAAACAGUUAGGGGACCAGAGUCCUGAUCUGGAUCAGCCAGAUGUUUUCAGGAAAGCCUUCAAUGUUACACAGAAACUAAUUGGAGAACGGAGGGUGUCAGCGGGACAUGAUAUCAGUGAUGGAGGCCUCAUCACAGCUGUAUUAGAAAUGGCUUUUGCUGGAAAUUGUGGAGUCAACAUAAAUUUGGAAUUUGACCAAGAAAAUCACAAAGCCAUUGAAGUUUUGUUCUCAGAAGAGCUUGGUUUAAUUUUGGAGGUGCCAUAUAGUGAGAGUACAAAUGUACUUGGAGAAUACUCAGCACAGGAUGUUCCCUGCUAUUUGAUUGGUCACUCAGUCAAAAGCAGUACCCCCUCAGACUCCUUGGUAAAUGUCUCUAUAAAAGGGAACGAGGUGUUAAAAGAAAAGAUGACUGUUUUGAGAGAUGUUUGGGAAGAGACAAGCUUUCAGUUAGAGCGCUAUCAAACAAAUCCCAAGUGUGUCACUCAAGAGCAAGCGGGUCUCAAAGAGAGGCUAGAGCCUCAAUAUCAUGUGCCAUUUGAAUCUGAGAUAAUAUCUUUCACACCGAAAGGUAGAAAUACGAGGCGACCACAUCCAAAAGUAGCAGUCCUCAGGGAAGAGGGCAGUAACUCUGACCGGGAGAUGGCAGCGGUGUUACACAUGGCUGGCUUUGAGGUGUGGGACAUUAAUAUGGAAGACCUGUGUACGGAGCGCAUUAAUCUAGACCAGUUCAGGGGACUAGUUUUUGUGGGAGGAUUCAGCUAUGCUGAUGUCUGUGGAUCUGCUAAAGGGUGGGCAGCCACUGCGUUAUUUAACCAUAAAGUCCAGGAACAGCUGCUGAAGUAUAAGGAGCGGGACGACACGUUCAGUCUGGGAGUGUGUAACGGCUGCCAACUGAUGGCUCUCCUAGGCUGGGUGGCUCCUGAUGAGGAUCUAAAAGAAAACAGCAACAGUGGAGUCGGACAAGGACUUUUCCUGGAUCACAAUCUAUCCGAGCGUUUCGAGUGUCGCUUCACUACAGUCAAAAUCUUGGACAGUCCAGCCAUCAUGUUCAAAGGAAUGGAGGACACAGUGUUUGGCAUGUGGAGUGCACACGGAGAAGGACGAAUGGUGUUCCGUUCUGAGGAGAUAUAUCAGGAUGUGUGUAGAGACAAUCUUGUAGCUGUGAAGUAUGUUGACGAUCAAGGCAAACCUACAGAGACAUAUCCCUUCAAUCCUAAUGGCUCUCGGGAUGGGAUAGCUGCCUUGUGUUCAGACGAUGGCAGACAUCUUGCUAUUAUGCCUCACCCAGAGCGAUGUUUCCUGCCCUGGCAAUGCGCAUGGAUGCCACAGGAAAUGAGGAAGAACUAUGAUGUAUCGCCUUGGUAUAAAAUGUUCCAAAAUGCAUUUGACUGGUGCUUAGGACAGUCUUAGAAUGAACACUAAGUACUAGUGUGCAGUGUUUAAAAAAAACGGGUUAAAAUUAUUAAUGUAUUUGCAUGGACAUGUAAUUGAAUUGCAUGGAAUUUAAAUGAUAUUACUGAACAAAGUUCAAUGAAUUUGGCAUAAUGUGUGGGUAUGUAUAAUUUACUGUUACAGUAACCAUGAGAAAUAAAAAUUGAAAAU